rnacentral:rRNA from 1 species
GAUGAACGCUGGCGGCGUGCUUAACGCAUGCAAGUCGAACGAGAAAUGGAGACGGAAACCUUCGGGCGGAAGGCUUCACUUCGAGGGGCGGACGGGGGAGUAACGCCUGGAUAACCUGCCUCAUACAGGGGGAUAACAGUUGGAAACGACAGUUAAUACCGCAUAAGACCACAGCAUCGCAAGGUGCGGGGGUAAAAACUCCGGUGGUAUGAGAUGGACCCGCGUUCGAUUAGCCAGUUGGCGGGGUAACGGCCCACCAAAGCGACGAUCGAUAGCCGAUCUGAGAGGCUGACCGGCCACAUUGGGACUGAGGCACGGCCCAAACUCCUACGGGAGGGAGCAGUGGGUAAUAUUGCACGAUGGGGGAAACCCUGAUGAAGCGACGCCGCGUGAGUGAAGAAGUACUUCGGUAUGUAAAGCUCUAUCAGCAGGGAAGAAAAUGACGGUACCUGAGUAAGAAGCCCCGGCUAACUACGUG